rnacentral:rRNA from 1 species
CCUACGGGCGGCAGCAGUGGGGAAUCUUGCACAAUGGGCGAAAGCCUGAUGCCGCAACGCCGCGUGAGCGAUGAAGGCCUUCGGGUCGUAAAGCUCUGUCCUCAAGGAAGAUCAUGACGGUACUUGAGGAGGCAUCCCCGGCUAACUACGUGCCAGAGGCCGCGGUAAUACGUGGUGGGCUCACGUGAUCCGGAAUUGUGGGGCCAAAGGGGUGCGUAGGUGGUUUCUAAAGUCGGAGGUGAAAGGCUACGGUGCAACCGUAGUAAGCCUUGGAAACUGGGACACUUGAGUGCAGGAGAGGAGAGUGGAAGUCCGAGUGUAGCGGUGAAAUGCGUAGAUAUUAGGAGGAACACCAGUGGCGAAGGCGGCUCUCUGGACUGUAACUGACACUGAGGCACGAAAGCGUGGGGAGCAAACAGGAUUAGAUACCCUUGUAGUC